AGAAUGAGCUCCUUUAAAACAUUCUUCUCCCCGGGGAUCCUAAUACCUCAAACCUGUAUAGCCCCUAGACAGUACCACCUAAGCUACAAGAGAAGCAAGAAGAAAAGCUUUUCCCACUCCGAGGUUAACUUCACACAGAACUAUACUCACUAAGUAGGGCAGAACCAGGACCAACUCACCUGGAUCACCUGUAACAAGCCACCUGCUCACUUUUCACCUAGCCUGUAUUUCCUGCUUGGCAGUCCAUGAUCUAGCAGGCCUCUGGACACAGAGUUACUCUACUAGUGGUUCUCAGGGUCUGGCCCCUGGGCCAGCAGCCCCGGCAUCACCUGGGAACCUGUCAGGAAUGCAAAUGUGAGGGCCCCACCCCAAGUCUACAGAAGCAGCAACUCUAGGGGUGGGCCCAGCAAUCAGUGCCUUAACAAGCCCUCCCAGGUGUUACUGAUACAUGCUACAGUUUGAGAACCACUAAGCUGUAUCUCCCCAGAUCCGUGGCUGGCCUAGGACCUAGAAAUGUAUUUGGAAAGGUCUCUGCAAAUAAACACCAUGUCAUGCAACAACAGAGGGUCCAGGGAAGAAGCUCACAAGUCCAGCUGGGGAGUAGUACUCAUUCAUCACAAGUUAGGGAGCACAGUGCAGGUCACAAGCCAGGCCUGUGCUACGUGCUCUGGGCCCGUCCUUGGUUUCAUGGAGCUGCAAGCAUUGGAGAGCUCGAAGAUCAAGCAAAUCUACACAGAAAUGAAUAGAGAAUUCAAUUCAAACUGUGGCAGACACUAGGAAAGAAAAGAAGGAGGAGGGACACUCAGGGAAUGAAGGGGACCUACUUUCACCUCAGUCAUCCAAGGGAGGUCUUCCUGAGGAAGGAACAAUUAGGGCUGGCCUAGGAAGGAGGAGCAGGGGAUUGGGCAAAGAGGGAAGGAAGCAAACAUUCCUGGUAGAGGACAAACUUGUAUAAAAGCCCUGGGGUAAAAGAGAGCUUGGUGCUUUAGACAUACUAACAAAAGCCAGUGUGGGUAAAAAACACAGUAGGAGGCAGGAGUAACCGGACUAGAGACUCACCUGACCUUGGAUCAUGCUGUACCUCAUAGGCAUGGUCAAGAGUAUGAGUUGGAGUCUAAGCUUAUAAGGACGCCCCUGAAUUUUAGGCAGACUAUUGACAACAAAUAUAAUUACUAAUAGUCAGCACUAGUCUAAAUGCUCCACAUAAAAACGUAAUUCUUACAACCACUCAUACAUAGGUUCCAUUAUUAUCAUCGUCUCCAUUUUACAGAUGAGGACAGAAUUAAGUUGCCCUGUGUCAUCCAGCUAGUAAAAAAUUAGAACAGAGCUGAACCAUCCUCGGCACUCAAGCUCUCAACCACCUCAACAGGCUGCCUCUCAGCAGGAGACUGAAGCAGUAGAAUGAUGGCCUAUGAUCUGGUUUGCAUUUCCAAAAGCUCUCUGUGCAUGCUGUGUCCAGGGAUAGAAUAGGGCAGGGGAGGGGAGGAGAAGAGGGGAGGGGAGGGGAGGAGAGGGGACUGUGUCAUCUAGGCAGGAAAUGGCAGCGACCUGGGCCAGGGUGGUGGUAAAAGAGCCGUAGAAGCAAGAGAAAUGUCCGGCAGCAGAGAAAGAACAGGCUCUCUCUUAGGGGCUGCACAACAAGUUCUAAAAGUCCCGAACAAAAUCAGUACGUCCUGACCCACCCCUGCAUCUCCCAUCACAGAAUUAGAAUAAGGGCUGAAAAGAGGGCUGCCUGUCCUGUGGGGCUGACCCGAAACACAGGGCUGUCAUUGUGACAGAAAUAAUCACACUUGGCCGCUUCAAUCCGAGCCACUGUUAUUCCUAAACUUUAGCAUUUUGAGGAAAAAGUCUGUUCCUUGUUUAGAAUGGAUGUUGUGAUCCACUGGGAAAGGCCGCACAUGGUCAAGAUGGCCUCACACGGGACCCUCAUAAACGCUGAUCAGAAUCAAACUCAGAUGUAAAAAGAGGCCUUCUCACGAGCACUUGAGCAAGCAGGGUUUCAUUGAACUGCCUUGAUUGCCUCGCAGCUCAUUAGGGAGAGGACGACAGCACAUUUGUCAGAGCGGCUGGCAUUUCCAGAAAAGUCCCACCCGUGAUUUGGUAAGAUGGUACAGGUCUCGGAGGGCUCUGGCAGCCGUUUUCCUGGGUUAGAUUAAGAGUCUGAGGGGUGUGAUUAGUGUUACCUGACCUCAAAGGAAAGGGUCCCCUUACAGGGGUGCCUGGGUGACUCAGUGGUUGAGCAUCCACCUUUGGGUCAGGGUGUGAUCCCGGGGUCCUGGGAUUGAGUCCCUCAUCAGACUCCCCACAGGGAGCCUGCUUCUCCUCUAUGUCUCUGCCUCUCUGUGUGUCUCUCAUGAAUUAAUAAAUAAAAUCUUAAAAAAAAAAAAAAAAAAGACGGGGGUCAUCUUGCAGAGCUUGAGAAUCAAAGCCACUGACUGAGAUCUAUGUCGGCAGUGGGUACACCCCGACCAACCAGUGGAGCAGGUGGGCUUCUUGUCUCCCGGGGCAGGUCAAAGUAGGUACUACUGGGCUUCCACUUUCCUGCCUGAGCCUUGCUUUUGCCCUCUGACCAGCAUGUCUGGACACAGCGUGGACAGGCCAAGGGUGGAGGCAGGUGGGCCUCCCUCGGGAGAGGAUGAGGGGCAAAGGCAGGCAGUGAAAGCACCAGUUCCUUAGGUCAGUCAAAGCCUCACUCAAUUUAGUUCCAAAAGGGCCACAUGCAUUUCAUAGCUUUGACCAGCUCUGUCUUAAGAGGCUACAGAAGCAGGCACACCGCCCCUCUGAAGCUCUCCCCUACCUUCCCAUCCAUCCCCCAACAUCCCUCUGUCCCAUAGGCUUCUUCCUUCCACUCACUCCCUUGACAGCCACCACGUCUGUCUUCUAGGUUGAAACUGUAACAUGGGGGUGAGUGAAAAAUGCUAUGGCUUUCUCUUAUUUACAAAAGAAUCGGAUUUACCGCCUCUUGUGUUUUAAAGGGCUCCUGUUAUUUUUUCCCCUCCUGUUUUUUUGUUGUUUUUUUUUCUGGGGGUAAGUGCCAUUUUAUUGAGAACAUUCUGUGCUCCUGGCUCGAUCCCAGUCCGGUUCAUGGCAUCUCAGACCAGAGAAGUGGCUUGCCCAGGUCACAUAGCUGGUAAGGGCUAGGGCCUGAGGGGCAGAGCCAGGCUCUCCCUCACUGGCCGCCUCGCCCCUCCUUGCUGCCUUACUGUGGACAGGAAGGGGGUGGCCACGAAGAGGGCCUUGCCUGGGGCAGCAGGCCCUGGCGGCCUUGGCCUGGAGUUUGGGUCUAGCCAAACCUGGCUGCUGGGAGGCACCCCCACCUACAGCAGACCCCACCCUUCUACUCCAAGGCCGAGAGCUUGAUUUAUUUUUACAAAUGGGGUGAACGUGGUUUGCAGAUGGGAGCGCUGAAGAGUCCCAUAUUAAGGAUAACAUGCCUUAAAAAGAUAGCUACAGCCCUGCCCCUGUCCCCUUCCCGCCCAAGAAGCUUCUGAUGAUGUAGGAAAGACGAAGGGACAGGAUCCGAAGGAGAACCCCAUCUCUCUGGGCCUCAACCCCACCGCAUUAGGCCCUGAGGACGCUCCCUUCCCAAGGAGCCAUAAGCACGAGUGAACGCCCCACUCAGCACACCCGCAAGUGCAGAAGUCGGCUAUAGGCAAACAGUCCUCGAGUGGCCUGUAAGAUGCCGAGUGAGUGGCUUAAUCACCCAGCAGGGUCUAGUAUGCAAUACAUAAAAGUCCUCGGAGACAGCCAGCCUGUAAACGGAAAGCAUUAUCAUUUGUAGCGGGAUUAAUAACAACACAGGCUGGAAACAAACACACGCCACCGGAUUACUUUUCCGACCUCUUCAGGGAGACCACUGAGUUCAAUGGAGGGUUUUAUUUCUCUGUUUUGAAACAAGACAACAUCUCCCACCAUGGGACAACGGCAGGAUCCCUCUCCAGGGAAAUCAGUCCUUGUGCAUCUGUCCUGCCGCCGCCGACGGCCUAUGCGAAGUUCAGGGGGUCACUGCGGAACCAAACAAGACGGUGUAGUCUGGAAGAAGGUGCGGAGUAACUUUACAAAUCGGAUUGGGGGGGGAGAAAGAAAAAAGGCCAAAGAUCUGGUCCAGCAACAGCAUCUUUAAAAAAGGCGUGAAGAGGGUCACCCAUGUCGCAGUGUUUGCUGAGCUGUUUCCUGAAUCACCUGGGGUGGCUGGGGGGCACGCGACUCUGUGCCUUGGGACCCGGGUGGAGGACUGGCCUGCGAUCUGCCUUUUGAACAAGCUCUUUCAGUCCUCUUUACACAACUGAGGCUCCAAAUCCCUGCCCAAUUUGAUUAAUGCACCGCUGAUCAACAGCUGAAGUCAGAAAACGAUGCAUACUUUUAAAACUGAGAGUCUCAAAAAAAUAAAAAAAUAAAACUGAGAGCCUCAAGAAAAAAAUAAAAUAAAAUAAUAAAGAAAACUGAGAAUCUCAAUCACAAACUCAUGAAACUUAAGAGAUAAAACACAGUUCACCGUAUUCAUCAGCCAAGUCUCCGGCCCCAAAUCUUUCAACAGGCAGUUCAUUAUUUUAAAAGUAAAAAAGACAUUGAUUUUACAUUUACUUUGUUUCUUUUCCUUCACUGAAGUCUCUGUGGACUAGCAAUGACCUAAAAAAGUCACCAUCUGCAUACAGAAGGAAGGUUCCUGCAAGGUUCAUGUCCUCAUGCUCUAGUAGCCUGAUAAUUAUGCAAAGUGCAGACCCACUCCGACCUAGACUCUUUCCAAACCCAGGUCAGAGAAGACACAGAGACAAGAAUCAAAGGACGCAGAAUACGGAGAGGUGGGGUGCAGAUCUGGCAAGAGCCCAACUCACAGCAGUCUCAGAUCCAGACUUGUGAAGCUUUGAAGUCACGGAGCCUCACAGCGAUACAAGCAUGGGGUUGAAACAGAAGGCAUUUUGUCGUAUGACUCUGAACUGAUACCUCAUUACCAGACCACACCGCCUAUAGGGUGCUGUCUCCAUAUUUCUGUAACCCCUAUAAUUAUCUUGUGAGAAGCGUGAUUAAGUUGUAUUAUGUUUCUGUGUUAAAAAAAAGUUCAGUUCUCACAUGUAAACAUUUAAGAUUCCCCAUGCUGUUUCUCAUCUGAAUAUGCAUUUUCUCUUUUUAAAUAUAUUGGAAGAAAAAAUAAAUAAAUAAAUAAAUAAAUAUAUUGGAAGGCUCAAAUUAUGGAAGCAGCCCAGCCUCUGAGCUGCAACCUGUAGAGCAGAGAUGAGGUUACUCCAGUGCCAGCGUGAUCCCAGCUAACAGACUAGUAGAAAUCUCCAAGCAUGGGCAUCAGGAGGACCAAGAGAGGAGCAUCUGGGUGGCUCAGUAGUUGAGCAUCUGCCUUUGGCUCAGGGUAUGACCCUGGGUCCAGGGAUCAAGUCCCACAUCAGGCUCCCCACAGGGAGCCUGCUUCUCCCUCUCCCUAUGUCUCU
rnacentral:lncRNA from 1 species